UACCUUCGCUUCCUUGCACGGGGCUGGUU
rnacentral:piRNA from 1 species